UACGGGGGGGGCAAGCGUUGUUCGGAAUUACUGGGCGUAAAGGGUGCGUAGGUGGGCAGGUAAGUCAGUGGUGAAAUCUCCGGGCUUAACCCGGAAACUGCCAUUGAUACUAUCUGUCUUGAAUUUCCUGGAGGUAAGCGGAAUAUGUCAUGUAGCGGUGAAAUGCUUAGAUAUGACAUAGAACACCAAUUGCGAAGGCAGCUUACUACGGGAAUAUUGACACUGAGGCACGAAAGCGUGGGGAUCAAACAGG
rnacentral:rRNA from 1 species